UCAACUCCCUUAUUUCUCCCCCCUUUCUCCUCCAAAGCAGCAAAGCUACACAUAAACAAGAAAAAUUCUCAACCAUCCUAACAACUCAAAACCACCAACUUCAAUGACCAUGUUCCAUCCAAAAUCCAUCCAAAUCGACUCGACCUGUCAUCCUCAACCCAAAAAUUGGCGAAAACCAGCUUCCCAAAGUCGAACCACCUAGAUGGUGUGUGUUGGUUACAAAAAUUCAAGAAAAACUUCUAGAAAUAGGUGAGCUGGCUCACCCCAACAGUCGAAUCUCGUGAAUCUCGGGUACCAUAGUACGAAUUGGUACAUAGAUGGAAAAUUUUCAUAUGCUUAUAAAGAUUAUUUCCUUUCCACCAAUUUCUAUUAGCCAUUUUUUGAAAUUUCGAUCAAGAAAAUGAAAAUAGAGGUACAGUUUUUUAUGAUCCUGAUAUUUUGAAUUUCAAAAAUGAACCCUCAAUCAUCUUCUAUAACUAGCUCUCUUUAGAGUAGGAAAAGGGGAUUUUCUUUUCUUUCCCUUCUGGGUUCGAAAGUCUUGGGUGAAAAAACUUAGGGGAAAUUCGGGAGUUGAAAAUUAGGGUUGAAAAUUCUGGAUUUUGAAAUUUUUGGAUUCUAAAAGAGGGGAAAGAAAAUUUUGAGAUAAAAAUAGUUCCCUUAUUGAAAACUUUCUUUUUCCUUUUUCUUUUUUAAGGUUGGUCGGUUAGUCGGAGGACGUUCCUGAGUUGGUAAUGCUAAUUUCCAAUGGAGGUGCAUCUCGAUGUAAGCUCGUUAUCCCAUUUUGCUGCCCAAAAAAUGGUCAGUGGUCGAUUCUUUCCUUUACUAUUAUGUUGUAAUGAUUGUAGCAGUAGUAGCUUUGGUUAAUGUCUUGAGGCUGGGAUGUUCACUGUAGAUUGGCGUUGGCAAGCCAUAGGUUUUUUUAUGUUGAAUCUGUUGAUGUUUCGGGUUCAUCAUUAUGUUUAGUCCAUGCUGGCUUGAGGUCAUCAAACAAUUUGAAUUUCACCCGUUGGAAGUUGUUUCCUAACGUAGUUGUUAUCUGCCUUUCAUUAUCUAGCUGUUUGAUUUGACAAGUGAAUUUGGUUCUUGAUAUACCGUGCCUUCGAUAUUAUGGUCCAUGAAACUAUAUCUCAGUUUGCUUUUUAUGCACUGAUGUGUGCCACCUUGGAUUCGUUGAGUGCUGUUCAAUUGUUAGAUAUGCGAAAAAUCCAAGUUCUUCUAUGAUUAUAAUCUAAUUGACUAACUAGCCAUGUUAAAACUAGACUUAGGAUAUCUUUAUAGACUAGAGGCUUUGAAUUCCAAAUUGCUGCUAUCAUUGUCUUUAGUUUUCUUGUUCUGUGACUCAUUUCUAUGGAAGAUCUAGGUUCAACUGCGGCUUUGUAUAACUCUCUUCUAUUGGUGCAUUUUACCUCAAGUAGAACUUUUUGUGUUAGAAAUUUUACGACUCAAAUAAAAGGACCAUUCGGAGAGAAUCCUGUUUAGUACCAUGUUAGAAUAUGUAUGUUAUUUGUUGGAAUUUGGGUUCUAAAACAGUAGUAUUCAGCCUUCUCUAUGCCUAUUAAGAAAAUUUUUUGUUACCUAUACUUAUAAUUCACCUAGAGCCAUUUAGUGGACUAUUCUUGAAAGAUCUGUCAACAUUUAGUUGUGCAGAUUAUUUUAAAGAUCAAUUUCCCUUUUCUAGUUUGAGUCAGGGGUUAAUCAGAAACAACCUCUCUAUCUCACAUGUGAGAUAGUGGCAUGGAUUGUGUAUGCUUAACCUCCCAGACACCACUUGGUGGCAAUAUAUGGGGUAUGUUUUGGUGGUUGUCUAAACCUUCAUUACCGGUCCUUGUGGCCUCUAUAUUUCUUUCUUAUAUAUGAGUUUGAUUCAUGUUUCUUUGUUGUCCGAAUAAUUCAUUUUUGUGAACAUGUAUUAAUUCCUUCAUCUUUUUAUUUGUAUGAAUCCAUUUUUGAGUCCUCCAUGGACUCUUUUCCUUUCGCAUAUUCAUGAUGGGAUCUUGAGGCCCAUCAUCUCUAUCGAGUCAACUCCGAAACCAAGUCUAAAAGUCGAUCAUGAGGCAUACCAAGGCAAGAAGAUGGAAGAAGAAAAAAUGGAUCCAAAGGCACCCUUAUUGAAGUAACUAAGAGACUCGAAGAGUCUUAUUUUGCUUUAUUUAUUUAUUUAUUUAUUGUUGCUUUAUUUAUUUUCAAUUAUUUAUUUAUGUGUUUGUUAAUUUAGUCAUUCAUUUGGGCCUUGAAGCUAAAGUUGUAUCUAAUACAGGCGAAGUGAAAACUCGAGCCAAAAAGGGCUUGAAAAUAUAGAAUUAGGACAGGUGGAAGACGGGCCGAAAGCCCAACAUCUAGACUAGGACAGGUUGACAGUUUGGGCUUAAAGCCUAAAUCACUACUUCUCCCCUUUUCCCUCUUCCUUUUUCUUACUUUUUUUUACGUGCUUCUUGCGAACCUAGUUAAAUCCCUAACUAAGACGCUAAAAAUUGAUUUUGAAAAAUCUUUUCCCUAACCAAUCUUUUCUCCAAUAAAUCAAUUUUCAAACAGUCCAGAUAACCGCAAGUUAGCGGACGUUUUAGGUGCCUAACACCUUCCUAAAACGUUAAUAGGAACCGCUUAUCUAGAAUCUCUAACUUAAACGAUUUUACUAUUUUGAAUCGUCUAAGUAUAUUACAAAGGUUUCUUAAUUCCUUUUCAAAAUUAGGUGGCGACUCUUCUCAAAAAGUCAAAAUUUCCGCAAAACAAGAGUGGGAAUGACAUUCUAGGGGAAGGGAGUGCUAGCCUCGACUUAGGCCCUUGACUAAUUUUUUCAUUUGAUCCCGGUACCCUCUUGGAAUGUGGAAAUAUCUACAUUCCCCACUUAAUACUUGGUCAAGACGACAAGAAAUGUUUGGUUGUGGGUGCUAAUGAAGGAAGACAAAGUUCUUCCUUAUCUCUUUUUGUGGAUGAUGACCGCUUCCUUUGUGUCUUUUUUACUAAGCUUUUUAUGUUCAACACAAAGGACCCGUGGAUAUUCUCUAAGUUUGUCCCCUCUCCCCCCCACCUGACAUGGAAUGUGAUGUGUGUAUUUUUCUAACCCUAACCCUACAUAUCUUGAGGAUGUGUGCUUGUUGUCUUUUCUUGAUUUUGCGAGGUACGGAUUCGAGGUCGAAUCCUUUUCAAGAAGGGAGGAUGAUACAAGUACGACCACGAGGAUGGACGUGAAUGAGUGCGUAAUGAAUCCGUCCAAGGAAGUACACAAGUGAAGUGUAAAAGAGGGCCUAGACACACCAAAAUCAGCCCAUUUUUUGCACUUGAUUGGCACCUCACCCUUGAGGGGUAUUAUGGACAUUUCAUAUUAUUUUUGUAAUAUUUAUAAAUAGAACCUUUUAGGGUUUCAUUCAUGAGAAUUUGAUGAUAAUGAAUGUUGUAUAACAUUGAAAGAUAAGUCCUCUCUCCUUGAGGAACAAAUCCAAAACUUGUAACUAAGGUGAUACUAGGGUGAAAUCACUAGUGUUGAAUUCUUGCUUAUAACGUUGGGUGCUAAAGGAGGUUGAGGUUUCUCUUGUGCUCAUCGAAGAGAGUAGGUGUUCCUAUUAUCAUUGUAUUAAGGGUCUAGGUGCUUGAAUAUACUUACGUUCUUAGUUCAUGAGAUAGUGUAUGUCACUCUAUCUAUCCUUUCUAUUCUUGCAAUCUUGUAAUGUUUGUAUCUCGUAUCGUACCCAUUUAUGUUGUUGUUAUUCUCAUUGUUAAGUUCAUCUUGUUCUUCAUAUUCUUGUUGUUAAUCAUAGUCUGGGUUGGCUGAUUUGGUGUUGGAAACACCCUUUUCUAUCUCGUUAUUGUGUAGUUGUAGCGAAUUCGAGAGAGG
rnacentral:lncRNA from 1 species